CGUGUAGGCGGUUUGGUAAGUUGGAUGUGAAAGCUCCAGGCUCAACCUGGAGAGGUCGUCCAAAACUGCCAGACUAGAGGACGGUAGAGGGAGGUGGAAUUCCGGGUGUAGCGGUGAAAUGCGUAGAUACCCGGAGGAACACCAGUGGCGAAGGCGGCCUCCUGGGCCGUGCCUGACGCUCAGACGCGAAAGCUAGGGGAGCGAACG
rnacentral:rRNA from 1 species